CGCGUGCAGGAUGAAGGCUUCGGGUUGUAAACUGCUUUUGUACGGAACGAAAAGGCCCUUCAAAUAAAGGGGGCCCAUGACGGUACCGUAAGAAUAAGCACCGGCUAACUACGUGCCAGCAGCCGCGGUAAUACGUAGGGUGCAAGCGUUAAUCGGAAUUACUGGGCGUAAAGCGUGCGCAGGCGGUUAUGUAAGACAGAUGUGAAAUCCCCGGGCUCAACCUGGGGAUUGCAUUAGUGACUGCAUAGCUAGAGUGCGGCAGAGGGGGAUGGAAUUCCGCGUGUAGCAGUGAAAAUGCGUAGAUAUGCGGAGGAACACCGAUGGCGAAGGCAAUCCCCUGGGCCUGCACUGACGCUCAUGCACGAAAGCGUGGGGAGCAACAGGAUUAGAUACCUGGUAUCCACGCCCUAACGAUGUCACUGGUUGUUGGGAAUCCUUUCUCAGUACGAACUAACGCGUGAAGU
rnacentral:rRNA from 1 species